GCUUCCAUAGCUCAGCAGGUAGAGCACUUCCAUGGUAAGGAAGGGGUCGUCAGUUCGAAUCUGAUUGGAAGCU
rnacentral:tRNA from 1 species